UACGUAGGGUGCGAGCGUUAAUCGGAAUUACUGGGCGUAAAGCGUGCGCAGGCGGUGAUGUAAGACAGUUGUGAAAUCCCCGGGCUCAACCUGGGAACUGCAUCUGUGACUGCAUCGCUGGAGUGCGGCAGAGGGGGAUGGAAUUCCGCGUGUAGCAGUGAAAUGCGUAGAUAUGCGGAGGAACACCGAUGGCGAAGGCAGCCUUCGUGGGCCAACACA
rnacentral:rRNA from 1 species